rnacentral:rRNA from 1 species
UACGGAGGAUGCGAGCGUUAUCCGGAUUUAUUGGGUUUAAAGGGUGCGUAGGCGGAGUGUCAAGUCAGCGGUAAAAUUUCGGGCUCAACCCCGUCGUGCCGGUUGAAACUGACGCCCUGGAGUGAGUGAGAAGUAAGCGGAAUGCGUGGUGUAGCGGUGGAAAUGCAUAGAUAUCACGCAGAACGCCGAUUGCGAAGGCAGCUUACCGGCGCUACAACUGACGCUGAGGCACGAAAGUGCGGGUAUCGAACAGG